GGGGUUGUAGCUCUAUGGCAGAGUGCUCACCUUGCAUGUGGAAGGCCCUGGGUUUGAUCCUCAGCACCACA
rnacentral:tRNA from 1 species